rnacentral:rRNA from 1 species
GAUGAACGCUGGCGGCGUGCCUAAUACAUGCAAGUCGAGCGAACGGACGAGAAGCUUGCUUCUCUGAUGUUAGCGGCGGACGGGUGAGUAACACGUGGAUAACCUACCUAUAAGACUGGGAUAACUUCGGGAAACCGGAGCUAAUACCGGAUAAUAUUUUGAACCGCAUGGUUCAAAAGUGAAAGACGGUCUUGCUGUCACUUAUAGAUGGAUCCGCGCUGCAUUAGCUAGUUGGUAAGGUAACGGCUUACCAAGGCAACGAUGCAUAGCCGACCUGAGAGGGUGAUCGGCCACAUUGGAACUGAGACACGGUCCUGGCUCCUACGGGAGGCAGCAGUAGGGAAUCUUCCGCAAUGGGCGAAAGCCUGGCGGAGCAACGCCGCGUGAGUGAUGAAGGUCUUCGGAUCGUAAAACUCUGUUAUUAGGUAAGAACAUAUUUGUAAGUAACUGUGCACAUCUUGACGGUACCUAAUCAGAAAGCCACGGCUAACUACGUG